rnacentral:rRNA from 1 species
AACGCGAAGAACCUUACCUGGUCUUGACAUGUACGGAAUCCUCCAGAGACGGAGGAGUGCCUUCGGGAGCCGUAACACAGGUGCUGCAUGGCUGUCGUCAGCUCGUGUCGUGAGAUGUUGGGUUAAGUCCCGCAACGAGCGCAACCCUUGUCAUUAGUUGCCAUCAUUUAGUUGGGCACUCUAAUGAGACUGCCGGUGACAAGCCGGAGGAAGGUGAGGAUGACGUCAAGUCCUCAUGGCCCUUAUGACCAGGGCUUCACACGUCAUACAAUGGUCGGUACAGAGGGUAGCCAAGCCGCGAGGUGGAGCCAAUCUCACAAAACCGAUGUAGUCCGGAUUGCACUCUGCAACUCGAGUGCAUGAAGUCGGAAUCGCUAGUAAUCGCAGUCAGC